GCCGGGAUGGCGGAAUUGGUAGACGCGGUGGACUUAAAAUCCGCUUCUAAAUUUUAGAGUACCGGUUCAAGUCCGGUUCCCGGUA
rnacentral:tRNA from 1 species